rfam:Thermoplasmatales archaeon SG8-52-2 WOR_8-12_8124, whole genome shotgun sequence.
GCCGCCUUAGCUCAGUUGGUGGAGCACUCGGCUGUUAAAGGGGAAAAAACUCCUACAGCUACCGAGCGGUCACCGGUUCGAGUCCGGUAGGCGGCG